UGUGUGUGUGUGUUUAUGUUUGUGUGUGUGUGUUUGUGUGAGUGUGUGUUUCUGUUUGUGUUUGUGUCGCACCCUCCGGGACACCGGGUUCCCGUGGCACACUUACCCCCCUGUGAACAAACACACGGACCCAUUAUAAGCAUAUAAAUAUGCGCUGUCCUCAUGUGCCGUCCCUCACAGCAUCACGGUAUAUAUAAGGACUUACGGAACCAGCCGGGUUUGUGCCCUGGAAGCAGAUGAUUUUCAGCUGCAGGAAAAACGGGUCCUCAGAGAUGCACAUAAGCAGUUUUUGGAACAAAGGUUAUGCCCUGCAUCUGUCAGUUCUUGAGUCAUCUGGGAGCUGGGAAGACAGCCAGGAAAGAUCUGGGAAGACACAUUCAAAUGGUGGUAUCAGAUACUGUGCUAUAAAGAGCAGCAAUGCACUGUGACUGUCUGCAAGGCUUGGAAUGAAAGGAAUGAAGUGGGGCUAAUUCCAGGAAGCUGCAAUCACUGCUCUGGGUAACACACUGGUUCUGUUGUCUCAGAUUUUGCAGGAAGUGUUGCAGGCAGGAGCAAAGAUGGGGAGGCAAAGACUAUGGCUUACCUUGAGCAAGGUGAAAUCUGCUUCCAGCACAGAGAUGGGGAAAGAACCACAUUUUCUGUUUUCAUCAAGAGGACUGCAGUUCAAAAGAAUACUGUGUGGCUUGCAUGUGACUCUUCUAUCUCUGAAGGUCUGUAUCAAACCAGGAGGUCAGGAUGCAGUGAUUUCAGUGGCUUUAUUUUGUUGGAGGAAGAGAAGCAAGGAUGAGAAACAUCAAAGGGAGCAGCAGAGUGACAGGGGCUGUGAGGAAUGGCUGGUUGGGCACGUGUGUUGGGGUUUAUCAGCCAUGCAGAUGCCAUCUGAAGGAAAAGCAACAGAAGAAUAACCAGACUGAGUGGAUUUUGCUUCUCCUUCUGGAGAGACUUUUCUGUGAAUCUUUCAGGGGAGAGAGGACCUGAAAUCUCUAUAUCCUAUCACAUAAGACAGUUACCAUUCACUGUAACUAUCUGGAAAUGAGUAUAACUAUGUGGAAUGAGUAUUCUUUCCCUGGAAAUGAGUAUACCUGGUGCAAAAGCCCUCAAACCACUGACACACAAUAUAAAUUAAAGCUUGCAGCUUUAACUAAGAGAACUUCAAGAAGAGAGCACCAAGGUCAUGAAUUCAAGGAUUUUGAGUUAAGAAAUGUGGGAGUUUAGACACACAUAGAAUAUGUGCAGUUCUAGCCUGGCCAGCACAAAUCUGGUAAUAAAUAAAUUAUAGGAAAAUUUGUGUAAAGGGUCAGACUAAACAAACGUAAAAUGAGUCAUCUGUUGUUUAAAUGCUUUUGAUAUGAUAAGAACUUUAGAUUUUGAUCAGUAAAUACACUGAAGGAACUUUAUAUGAACCUGGCUGCAUUAAACUGAAUUUUCAAAAUUACUCAAAUAAAGGAUAGGCCAAUUUUAGCAAUAAACUUCAGCUUCUUUUGGAAAUAAGACUUUAAUGCUGUGAUAUUAAUCUUGCAAGCAUAUUUUUAUUCCCCAAAUAAAACUAGAAAGAACGAAAAGAAACUACAAUAUGAAGAAAUUGGAACUGAAGAAUUAAAUGACUUUGCCAAAAAUGCUGAGUAUGAACAUUCUGUGUGGAUUUUCCAUGUCAUCUGGAGGUAACAGACUGCCCAAGGGGCUUUUCUCAGUAUGCACCUUGGCUAUCAACUAGAAAUUAUAAAACACAAAAUUAUUCCUAUGGGUAAAAACUGACCUGUAGUAGUUCUUUGUAAUCUCACAAUAUUCUUUUGGGAAUGAAAUAUAAAAUGGAGACGCAAUUCUGUGUUCUUACAUGUGUGAAACCUUAAAGGAGCCAUUUCUCUACAGUGUGCAUUUUCAUUUCUAUCCAGUGUUCAAUAUUUUAUGUAACAUUUACUAGGAGCAGUGCUAAAAGGAGUAAAUUUUACUACAUUAUUUCUUUCUCUUUCGUUCUUAUCUGCUAUCAGCAUUCUUAGUACAACUCUUUAAUUUGUCUGUUCUACAGAGUUCUGCUUUGAUUGGAUUUUGAUAUUAGCUGAAAUAAGUCAACUCCAGCCACUCUUCUGUUGUCAGCUAUGCCUUCAUGUUCUGAUUUGCAGCAUAAAAACAUGCAGGUUUUUUUUUAAUUUUAGAAGAUUCAUAGUGUUUAAAACAUUGAUAACUUAGGGUUUUCUUUUGAUAUCAAACAAAUAAUUGUUUUCUCAUCCUUCCAAUAGAAUUCUCUAUAGUUUUGAAUGAUAGCUGAGUCCUGUGGUCUUUUAAAGAUGGCAAGAGUUAUACAUUACCUCUUUUUCAGAUUAAUUUUGCGGGUAAAAGCGUAGAUAGGAUCUUGGUGGGGAUGAAUUAUAAAAUUAAGGGACUGCUUCAGCCAUAUCUUUUUUCCUUUUCCUUUUUUCCUUUUUUCCUUUUCCAGCAGCUGCCUUAAAUAUAAGCAGUGGUGUGUACUCUGACAAAGCUUUUGUGCUUGUAAAGCAGGGAAUAUUGUUUGUCCCAGAGCUGAGUCACAUACGUUAGUGAUGAGCAUGAAGAAACUUGAGAAGGCAGAAAACCAGGUAUCUUAUAAAAAUAGGCUUUUCCCACCAUAUACUUUUUGUGUGUGUGUGAUUACCUCUAAAUCUCAUAUCCAAGGUUAAAUCAGAUCUUUCUAAAGCCAUCUUUGUACUAUUUUUAAAAAUUUAUUUGUGUUUCAAACCUACACAGGAAAAUUUUUGUUGAGAAAGAUAAAUGGCGCUGUAUUAAAAAAACAAACCAAAACACGACUGAUUCGAACAGCAAUUUUUCUCAUGCUCAGAGUUUAUGAAACUAUCUUCUGACAAAGUACUCUGACUUCCCUGCAGUUGACAAAUAAAUAGGCAUUUUACAAAUAUUAUGUGGAAUGUAUGAGCUAAUAUCAAUUAAUAGGUUGCCAAGUUAGAAUUUUUAAUUGUGUUCAGAGUUAUUUAAUUGACUUCAUAAAUUUCAAGUAAAAAAGAGCUGAAGCAUACGAUCCAAAACAUGCUAAUAAAAAAUCUCAAUUAGCUGUCAGAGAGUUUGGUCUACACAUGCAGUGCUGUGGUUGUCAACAAAAUUGUAGUAAAAAACAAACCACAUUGUACUCCUGAGCAAGGGAAAACAGCUUUUCUUAAUCAAUACUGAUCUAUAUGGUGAACAUGACACAAAAGGUACUCUGGAAGAAGGGGUAGAUGGUUGUUAAGAUUCCUCUCUGCAAGCCUUUUAAAUCUUUUUUUCCGUGGAAGGUUUAAGAUCAGUUAAAUAUUGUAAUUUGCUGUACAAGGGUAUAGUAAAAAGGUGAUAUAGAUAUUUUUGAGGCUCAGAAGUCAGUCACAGUUCUACUACUACAGACUUUCCAAAAAGGGCACCCCAGCUGUUCCAACUUAUAUCUGAGGUAAAGCAAGGAGAUGGCCAAGGCUGAGGAAAGGACUUUCAUUUUUGCUGUUACAGAUGUUGAGUCAAGAGUUGGAGAUAUUUCAUGUGUCCUCCAAACUGUGGUGAAUUUCAUGAGGCAAAAGAAGGGGGAAAUCAAAGCUCUCUAGGGCCAACAAUUUGAGGAAUUUAUAGCCCCUGUUAAAAUCCCAAUGCUGGACGACUCUCAGGGACUGGAAUUUAUCACUCUGUUGUAUUGGGCUGUUUGUGUGAGAUAAGAUGAAGCCAAGAGGCCAAUUUUUAAUUGAACAAUAGUUUUCACAAAUCAUUUUAAAUGAACUUUGCUUUCAGCCUCAGCACACACAAAAUACAAUGAACCAUUGCAGCUCUAUUUACACUUUUUCCUUUGGAACCAAACUUCUCAUCACUGCCAUGAGUACUUGGAAAAAUGAAAGCCACAAGAUUUCGAUGAUCAAAUAAAUUCAGCUUUACAUUGCCUCAAAGCUGAUACCAGGACUGACAUAUUUUCUCAAAUGCAUUUAUACAUUUAUAUUAUUUAUAUAUAUGCAUAUAUAUUUUCUUUCUCACCUGAGUAAGAAAAGCAGAGAUGCCUAGGGCUGAAAAAUGCAACUACCAAAUUGGCUUAGCAUUCAUUUGUAAGUAAAUGAGUACAGUGUGGACAGACAUUUUCCUUCCAUUUUAUCAAGACUGCCUUUGAUUUGUGCCAACCCAGUUGGAAUAUAGUCUUUCAUCAUAUUUGUGUGCUACUCCUGUCCAUCAUUUCACUAUGGAUUGUAUUUUCCAAGAGUGAUCUGCUGUGUGAGCACAGAUAAUCACCUGCUUCAUGAAUAAGACAAUAAUUUCCCUAAUUAAAAGGGAAAAGGAAAGGGAACAUGGGCUAAUUUAGGGGGAAAAGGGGGUCAUCCACUUGAACAGGUUGCCCAGAGGUCUUGUGGGGCAUCCAUCCUUGGGGAUACACAAAACCUGACUUGACAGAUCCCUGAGCAACCUGCUCUGGGUGACCCUGACAUGAGCAAGGGCUUGGACUAGGUGGUCGGUCUCCCAAGAUCUCUUCCCAUCUCAACUAUUCUGUGAGACUGUCCAGGCCAAACUCCAAAAUGGAAUUGAAAUAAUAUUGUCUAAUUUCUAUAUGUAACCAGCCUGUAAUUUGAUUUCUGAUCCACCUGUUUAAGGCAUGGGCAAAUUCAUAUUGCAAUUGUAAUUGAAAAAAGUUAGGUCUGUAACACAAAUCAGGUUUUACAAAUACUCUUUUUUUUGCAGAAACUCUAUUAAAUAUAUAUGCUUUAAGGAAAAUAAUUGACUGUAAGAAGCUAGUAGCAGAAAAGAAAGUGCUAUCAGGAGAUUUUGAUGCAAUGCCAUUCUUGAUUAUGUUUAUUGAGAUUUGUUUAAUAAACUGAUCUACCUAUUUUCAUCCCAUCUAAUUAAAAUUAAUUACAAGAGGAGUAAUUAUGCUUGUAGUCAGAUUGCUACACUGAGCAGAUUAUUUACUUGAGUUCUAAUUUUACAGCUGUAUCUGAUUUUGCAGUAUUGGAUUUUAAUAUGUGGAUGCUCAUCUUCUUGCAGCUUCUGAAAUGAAAUUACUUAUGUCAUGUGUGAUUACUGAGACUUUCAAGAGUCAUUUUGGUCGAGAGUGAGACAAUUUUCCACUUUACUAUGGAAAGAUGGAAUUUAAACUGAGGAGAUUGCUGUAUUGGAAAUAUAUGCUUAGUUAAGUUACUGUCCUUUGAAUAGAACUAGAAUAGUAAUUUUAUGAACAUAUAUCUGUGCCACUGGCUUAGGCUGGGCAAAUAGAGAAAUAACUGUUCAGUUUCAAAAAAGGACAUUUGAAAAUUGCCAGAAGAUUGAAAUCAGUGGGGAUGGCUUCAUCAUGUUUCGUGCAAGGAAGUGGUGUGCUCCUACUAAUACAACAGUUUGUUUAUAUCUAUUUAUAAAUAUGUGGCAUAUAUUUCAUUAAAAGUCUUAAUGGUUUAAAAAUAAGAUGUGGGUUUGGCUAAAUGAAACAGGUUCAGC